rnacentral:rRNA from 1 species
UACGUAGGGAGCGAGCGUUGUCCGAAGUUACUGGGCGUAAAGCGCGCGUAGGCGGGUUUGAAAGUCGGAGGUGAAAUGCUGGGGCUCAACUCCAUGCAGUGCCUCCGAUACUUCAAGUCUUGAGUGCGGUAGGGAGAAGUGGAAUGGCUGGUGUAGCGGUGAAAUGCGUAGAUAUUAGGAAGAACACCGGUGGCGAAGGCGGCCCACUGGAUCGGUACUGACGCUGAGGUGCGAAAGCGUGGGGAGCGAACAGG